UAAUACAGAGGUGGCAAGCGUUGUUCGGAAUUACUGGGCGUAAAGGGCGCGUAGGCGGCCUUUUUAGUCAGACGUGAAAUCCCCCGGCUUAACCUGGGAACUGCGUCUGAUACUGGAAGGCUUGAGUUCGGGAGAGGGAUGUAGAAUUCCAGGUGUAGCGGUGAAAUGCGUAGAUAUCUGGAGGAAUACCGGUGGCGAAGGCGGCAUCCUGGACCGAAACUGACGCUGAGGCGCGAAAGCUAGGGGAGCAAACGGGAUUAGAUACCCCGGUAGUCCUAGCCCUAAACGAUGAAUGCUUGGUGUGGCGGGUAUCGAUCCCUGCCGUGCCGAAGCUAACGCAUUAAGCAUUCCGCCUGGGGAGUACGGUCGCAAGGCUG
rnacentral:rRNA from 1 species